CCCAAAUCACGCCGACAACAAAAUCCCCUUUCUUUACUUUACUAUUCUCUUUGUGAUUUGGGUAGGGUGGGCAAGGGAGAUCCCAGGAGGACGCGUCGUGCUACUCGACAUCUUCAUGGUUGGCGCGGCCGGGGCGACGGUGCUGGAGGUUGGUGGUGCGGAGGAGGCGGUGACUGACCUGACGAAGGGUGCACAUGUUCGCGGAUUUCCCAGCGAUUUGGUGUGUGCCGAUCUUCCAAGCCAUUCUGACCGUGGAGGCGACCGGGUGUUCGAGCAGCUGUUCUUGCUCUGGCCACCAGUGAGAUCGCAUAUCGUCGUCGCGGAUAAGGAAAGGUGGAUGCCAGUCGCCUGGGAGAUCACAGGUGCUGGCAGAGAGCUUUGGCGUUGUGUAGAAUGGCCUCUCGUUCCUUGACGCUUAGGUUGAUGAAGAGCGACAGAUAUCCCAUCCAAUGAGUGGUGAGAGAUAUCAUGCAGGAUGGAGUACCGGUUCAUGGAUUUCCUGGACAAAAUUGUUCUACUGGGUCAAGCUGUUGGUGCCAGGGCAUCAAUGCCAAGGUGGCAUAGGACAGAGAAUAAUUGUUUACCAGGGCAAGCUAAUGGAGAAUAACUGGAUCAGCGGCACAGUACAGAUGGUGGACUACUGCUAUGGUCUAUUAGAGGUGUGUGAGUAACGGAGGCAGAUUCAUAUGAGGAGAUAGCGAAAUAAAUAAAUAGCACCAAGAUGUGAGCAACAUGUUUGGCCAACCACUGUGUUUUUGCCCUCCUCAUCGUCGGUGUUGUUGGACUUCUACCACAUUAGCAAUGGAUAUUAUUUUACCGUGCCCAAGAUCCGACUCUUCAUCUUCAUGCCUUCCUAAUUGUUUGUACUGCUGGACUUUUACCACCAUAAGUGUUAUUUCUCUGUAUCCUUCCUAAUGCAAAUCAUCUUUGUGCUCCUUCCUAAGAUUUCUAUAUUACUCGUACUAUAAUAUUGGAAUUUUUCUCAUGGUACACUUGAAUAGAAAAUGCAACAUGAUAGAAGAAUUGUUACCAAGAACAUAGAACUCCCAAAAGUAUAUGUCUAACUAUAUUUCAAAUAAAUACAAUAUGACAUGCUUUUCAUAGUGUUAAUGUCUCCUUAUAUUGGUUGAUCUAAAGAAAGUAUUCAGUCUAUUCUAGACUAAGGACAUAAUGCUAUUGCAAUAUAAUAAGUUUUCUUCUUAUCUUUGUAGAUGUCAAGUACACUUACUGUAUAUAUCUUGGUAAGUAAAAUAUGUUGCCCUAUUAUUUAAUUGAUAAGCUACUGAUGCACCAAUUUUCUAGAUAAUUUCCUCGCUGUCCUAGGCUUCGGUUUACGUACUUCAUCUUCAUCUUCAAGCCUUGUAUUGUUUCGGCUGACAUCUUUUCCCUUGCUUUCUGGCAAACAUGCUCCGUGCAUUCUCCUCUGAUUCAUCUGAUAUUACAACAUAUCCCGGUCUUCUUUUCUUGUCACCGUGGAACUCACGUGACGAUGAUGUUAUUUUGUCUUGAUGCCCAUCUUUGUUUAUUUUAGUCACAUUACUAUUGGGUGGUUCCUAUUUCAUUCGCACCAGACACACCGUAGUUUGGUAGUUGAAACAUUAUUAUUCUGUGACUGCAAAAUAAAUAUAAAUUUAAAAUUAGACACAUUUAUAAAAAUCUAGAAGUGUAUACAGUGGAAAAACCAAUCACCAUUUUAUCGGUGCAUGUUCUGCUUCUUCCUUUCAUGUUUUAACACAGUGUCCACCUCAUCAUCCAUCAAUUUCAAUGCAAUAUAUGUAAGGUGAAUUAGUUAGGGAAUUCUAGACACGAUACUUAAUUUUUGAAAAAAAGUUAAAUGCACCUUUACCUCAGCUUUAUCAUUCAAGUAGAGCAUCUCAAGCCUAUCAUUGAGCACAAAUGUUCUUUUUACUACAUAGUUUUCUGUGCCAAAGAUGAUAUUACAUCCAUUCAACUUGGCAUUUCAUUUCCCAUUGAAUUAUCUCAGCAAGUUAGAGAUAGAUGUAUUAAGCAAGCUUGGAGCGUCCUUUUCAAAUAAAGUGCAACUUGUAGUAGUUUUAUGCUCACUAAUUUGGAGUCGAAUACAAUACCUACCACACCAUUCAUGUUAGUGAAUCAUAAAUAUUAUAUAAUACUCCAGUUAUUUCAGAACUAUAAACAUACCUGAGCAUUGUUUUUCUUUUUCUGCAUGUUUCUGUAGUGUAUCCUUUAUAGAAACUCGAGCGAUAAUCUGGGUAAACCUCUAGAGAUCCUUUUACCUCAUGUAUGUUUGCUUUGUAUGAAAAAUAUAUUUCACUUACAUUGCUCAUUGGCGGUAUUUUUAUGGAUUCCAGAACCUUGAAAUUUUGAAUCCAUAAAUAGAUUGCUCUUUGAUAUGAAAGGUAGCAUGAAUUGUUUGGCCCUAUGAAUAAUGAGAUAUACUUAGUAUUUUUUAUUGAGAAGAUAGAACAAUUU